rnacentral:rRNA from 1 species
UAGGGAAUCUUCCACAAUGGACGAAAGUCUGAUGGAGCAACGCCGCGUGAGUGAAGAAGGGUUUCGGCUCGUAAAACUCUGUUGUUAAAGAAGAACAUAUCUGAGAGUAACUGUUCAGGUAAUGACGGUAUUUAACCAGAAAGCCACGGCUAACUGCGUGCCAG